rnacentral:rRNA from 1 species
AUUAAACGCUGGCGGAAUGCUUUACACAUGCAAGUCGAACGGUAGAGGGGGCAACCCCUCGAGAGUGGCGAACGGGUGAGUAAUAUAUCGGAACGUGCCCAGUCGUGGGGGAUAACGUAGCGAAAGUUACGCUAAUACCGCAUACGAUCUAAGGAUGAAAGCGGGGGAUCGCAAGACCUCGCGCGAUUGGAGCGGCCGAUAUCAGAUUAGGUAGUUGGUGGGGUAAAGGCUCACCAAGCCAACGAUCUGUAGCUGGUCUGAGAGGACGACCAGCCAAACUGGAACUGAGACACGGUCCAGACUCCUACGGGAGGCAGCAGGGGGGAAUUUUGGACAAUGGACGCAAGUCUGAUCCAGCCAUUCCGCGUGCAGGAUGAAGGCCCUCGGGUUGAAAACUGCUUUUGUACGGAACGAAAAGGUCUCUCUUAAUACGGGGGACUCAUGACGGUACCGUAAGAAUAAGCACCGGCUAACUACGUGCCAGCAGCCGCCGUAA